GCCAUAAGGUGAAGCAGCUUUUCGUUUCAUUUCGUUCCCAUAUAUGGGGCACUACAUUCUUUUUAUUCCAAUAAAAGGAUCAAUUGGUAUAGAAUGAAAAAAUAAAAGUUCUCCAUGUGUAAUCCAGCAGUUAUUUUUUUACAAGUGUAUAAAGUUGGCAAUAGUCCCAUCCUCGCGUAAUCAUUUUUUAAAGGUGAGAGAUGCGGCUUCGCGUCACGUGCUUGCCGCUAGACCAAUGAGAUGGCAUAACGUCGGAACGACAUGUAAACAUGGUCUAAGAUGGCAGCGCCCUUGUCGUCACUAUCGAGUAGCGAAGAGGAUGAAAUUAUUGUCAGACCUCCACCAAAAGUCAGUAAAAGGGUUUAUAAAAAAUGCUAUAUGCAUCUCACGUCCAUAAAAAAAGAAACGAAGGAUUUUACACGCACACGGUGGGAUACAUUUAGAAACUGCAUCAAACGGUGGCUUGACUUGCAGGGUGAGAGUCAGAAAAUAGCAGAAACAUACAAACAUUGUCUAGAAAUCGAGUUUGACCGUGUGCCCGAAGACGCAGGGUUUCACUCCACUUGCUACCGGCGUUUUAUUGACAAAAAGCGCUUGGAUGUGGCCGAGAAACGAGUUUCACGGUGCCCUGAAGCUGGUGAUGAUCAUAACACAGACCAGUCUGUGUCAUCGGGAAAUAGUAUUUCGUCAACGUAUAGCCCAACAAAAAAACUUAGGUCCAGUACCGGACUGCCGAUAGCUUGUUUGGGUCCUGUACUUCCUGCUUUGUGCAUAAUUUGCAAGAAAACGGACAAGUACAUCACUGUGGCAGGCAAACGCCAGAAGGACAAUCUUUCACAAGCGGAGACGCUGUCGGCAGGUAUAAAGCACACGUUUGAACUUAAAGUUAUAUGUCAUAUACUGAGAACCAUAACUAACUUUCAAAUACAUCAAUAUUUACAUUACAUGUACAUUAUAAUGUUUAUAGUGCAGUCAGUUUUUGCAUACACAUAUGCAUGAACAGUGAGAACUGUUAUGUUUUUUUAAAUACAUAUUUAUUACAGGCCAGUUGCUCAAAGCAGCUGAGAUGAAGGAAGACACUAGCAUUCUUGUGCAUAUUAAAGACAAAGACUGUGUGUCUUUGGAAGUACGAUAUCACAAGUCCUGUUACAGACAGUACACCAGGUUCUUGACAAAGUCUACUAGAUUCCAUGCUGAAUCCUUUUGACUCACACCAAGAUGGCAUUGUGUCUUAGCUCUGGAAUAGUUGCAGCUAAAGAAAUUAUGAUGGAUUUGCUCACAGCUUCAGAAAAGGGGGAAAAUGCUGUUCAGGAAUUUAUGGACCAAAGACUGCUAUCACCAUCAGUUGACGUAUUUGCUCCCAUCAAAAAACUAAAACUAAAGACAUUCAGUGAUCAAGCCAAGACAAAUAAGAAAUCUGCAGCAGGCAAGGAAGUAAUUCUACGUGCAGAUAAGAAGCUUUUCUCCAGACGGCUCGUCAUAGGUCAAAGAAGAAAGAUAUACUUGAGGGAAAUUCUCUCCUACUCCUUGGGAACUGUGUCAUAUCCUUUAUCAAGUGCUGAUGGUUCUCUUGGAAAAACAAACAAAUCAGCUCUCAUGGAUGUUCUGGAAACCAAAGGUGGAGACUGUUUAGUUGACAGAGUACCAGUAAAUGGAGCUAUACUUUUUGAUGGCAUGGCAGUCAUUCAAGCCAUUCAGUCCAUACCAAGUACCUUCGGGGAGCUUGCUGACACUAUUCUACAGUACUUAGUCAAUCUUGCUCUCAAGCACAACUGUACACGGAUAGAUUUUGUGAUAGACAAGUAUCCAGAAAUUAGUAUUAAAAAUGUAGAAUGAUCACGCAGAGCUGUUGGUGGCACACAACAGGUAAAAAUUUAUGGACGGGAUCAAAAGACACAACACAAUGGAAGAAGUUUCUGUCGGAUGGGACAAACAAAGAAGCACUGGCAGAAUUCCUCUAUGUAAUGUGGCAAGACGCUGAUCUUACAAUUUUAGGGUUGGCAACAAAACGAGGAUCAUUGACUUAUGUAAGGUGUCAUCAGCUCUCUGCAACAGUGAAUGUUUGGCACUUAUUUGGAUCCAUACCUUCUCAGGCUGUGACUCUACAAAUGCCUUUUAUGGCAAGGGGAAAAAAAGUCAUUUUCUGUUGCUUGUGAGAAAGAGGAAUACUUGACUGCAUUUAGAAAUCUGGGUAGCAGUUUUAAUUUGGACCAGUCUACCUUUGAAGUGCUUUGCAAAUAUGUCUGUCACCUAUAUGGCCAAUCAUGUGCUAAAAGUCUGAACGAUGCACGAUACAAAGCAUUCUGCAUGGCAUCAUCAGCUUUGCCAGAAUGAUCCAUGCCUCCGACAAGUGAUGCUUUGUACCAACACUGCAAAAGGGCAAACUACCAAGCAGCCAUAAUGAGACAUUCUCUGAAAGGUAAAAUGUGUGCCCCUUCACCUGUUGGCAAUGGAUGGCACCUCGAGGAUGGGGAGUUAAGUGACGUGGAUGACUAGAAAUCCAGCCCCUGAUAGUGUGUUGCAGGUUGUCCACUGCAGUUGCAAGUAAGGCAAAUGUGAGACUGGAAGAUGCUCCUGUAUGUCUGCAAAUCUGUCCUGUACAGAUUUAUGCCGCUGUCUCAAUUGUACAAAUGUUUUCCAGGAAACAGAGGAAAGAGCUACAUGUGAAGAUGGUUCUGAUGAAAGUGAUAAGGAUAGUAGUGAUGAGUAAAGGUGAUCUGUGUCACAGGUUACUUGGAUUUGAGCUGUAAUGAAGCAGCUGUAAAAUGUUUAAUAUUUGUCGUUAUUGAAAAAUUAGUGCAGCAGUCCAGCAUUUCAAGUCAUUUUAGCCAACUUGGACCAAAAACUGUUUUUGUCUUUAAUUUUGUGUGAUUCCUAAGUGCCUACUGAACAUUUUAAUGAAUAAAACAUAACAAAAAUGUUUAAGUUUCAAUUUGUUCUUCAGUUUUAUUUGGUGCCAAUCGGUGAAGUUGAAGUGCAUUAUAAAAAAAAAUGCAUUAUUUCAUGGUCUUCCUUCAAAAUUGAGUUGAUUAAUGCACAAAUACUUGUCUCAGAUAUGUAGCUACAUGUAUAAAUGUGGAUUUGACAUAUAUUUUGUUUUGAUUAAAUGCGUAUUAAUAAAGUUACAGGCCAAACUA